UGGGGAAUAUUGCACAAUGGGCGCAAGCCUGAUGCAGCCAUGCCGCGUGUGUGAAGAAGGCCUUCGGGUUGUAAAGCACUUUCAGCGGGGAGGAAGGCGAUAAGGUUAAUAACCUUGUCGAUUGACGUUAUCCGCAGAAGAAGCACCGGCUAACUCCGUGCCAGCAGCCGCGGUAAUACGGAGGGUGCAAGCGUUAAUCGGAAUUACUGGGCGUAAAGCGCACGCAGGCGGUCUGUCAAGUCGGAUGUGAAAUCCCCGGGCUCAACCUGGGAACUGCAUUCGAAACUGGCAGGCUAGAGUCUUGUAGAGGGGGGUAGAAUUCCAGGUGUAGCGGUGAAAUGCGUAGAGAUCUGGAGGAAUACCGGUGGCGAAGGCGGCCCCCUGGACAAAGACUGACGCUCAGGUGCGAAAGCGUGGGGAGCAAACAGG
rnacentral:rRNA from 1 species